AAAGAAAAGUAAUCAUAAUUUAAUAGCAUUUGCAUCUCAUUAAACUUAUAAUAGGCCAUAAUCUAUUUUUCUUCUGCCUGUAAUUUUCUUAAGCCCCUUAUGAAACACAAGUGGAUUUUUAUACAUUUCACAAAUAGAUUACAAUUUCCCAAAUACUGUUGCAAUUAGAUAUUCAAAAAGCAAGCCAAUAAAGGAAUGAGCUAGAGAAGUCUCCAUAUCAUUGUUCCAGUGCAAGCUUUAGAAUGAAAAUAAAAUUUUGUGGUCUAGAAGAUGUAUGCUCAAUUAAAUUCAAAUCAAAUACAAUCAACAAAUCCCUCUUCAAUGAUUUUAAUUGCCAAUGCUAUGAAAAAUACUGCCUUCAGUUCUCAUCAUUUAAUUGAUCCUUCUUAGAUAUGUGAUUGAACUUGUAAACGUCCUCCUAAAAGGGUCCUUCUCAAAAUUACUGUAAAAUUUCUGGUCUUGGCUCCAAGACUAUUGACACCUACUGAAGAUUAACUUGGAAACCCUGAUGUGGUUCUUGGAUUCAGGACUGGAGCCUGUACCUGAAGCAAGUCCCUCAAAGCAGGCCAAUCCCCUGGACCAGUGAUAGUGAUUGGGUCAGAGGUGGACAUGUGACCUAACCUGCUUGGAAUGCUGGGACAAAGGCUCUGGAUGACGCGCUAGGCCAAUGAGAUGCCCAGAAUCUCUGUGGUCGUUCCGUGAUUACAAAAUAGUCAACACGUGGAAGAAAGAAGAACUCAAGGAAUCAAACAAAGAGCACUGAGCCGGGUCCUUCUACGUGAUGAGUCACCUCAUCACGUCCCUGUGGUUACAUGGACCAAACAAAACGCCGUGUACUUUUUAUCAGUUUUCUUUCUUGAACCCCGAAGGCUCCUGGUGGAACAUGUAUCACGGAAGAGGGAGUUCACAGGAUGCUGGACCUUCAGGAAACAUAUCUGAACCUGAAGGAGAGAUCUCACCAUCUCCUGAAGAUCCUAGACUUUGAGACAGAUGUAGUAACUGGAUGAAAUUUGGAAUUUUCUCCUUAAGGAGCUUUGUCUUCUUAUUCCAGGCACACAGCAAGACUUCAUUUCUCAGCACCCCUGCAAAGAAGCAACUAAAUUCUCUUUAGUGGAAUGUAGUGGUGGGAUACAUGCCAUUCCAAGCAUGGCCCAUAAAGGCAUCUCACCUUGUCCCUCCAUCCCCUUCUUCACUACUGGCCAACUGAUGUGACAAGGCUUUGGAUGACCCCCAGAUGUCACAUAUUGAAGUCAGCAGAGGCACUACCAACCUGGGCCCUUAAGUGACUGUAUGGAGGAAAGUUGCCAUCAAUGUGAAUCCUCUGAUAAUGGCCUUUUGUUUUUUAUGCCACUGAAAUUUGGGUUUUAUUUUAAUUGUAUCUUAGCAUACUCUAACACUUCAUAUUAAAAAGUAGCAAUAUCUAUUUCUGUACAAUUUGAAAAGUUCUCCAAGAAAGAUUAUAGCUGAUCCAAGACCUUUGCGCUGUUUCUCACUACCAUCCCAUCUCUUCAUGACCAGAUUAGAUUUCACAGUCUCUUCAUCUCUCCUGACUCCCUUGAAUAAGUGCACUCAGUCUCUUCUCUCCCUCUCCCACCACCUCUCUCUCUCUCUCUCCCUCUCUGUGUCUCUCCUUAUCUCCAACUCUGAUGACAUCCAACUCUUUACCUACUUCCACACUCACAAACGUUAAAUUCAUAGCUGCUGAAUUUAGGUCCAUGUUGCUGUCCAGCAGUCUCAUCACAUUUGCAUAUUUCAUUCACUGGUCCAGUCUCUUACAGAGCUAUUUCAUAUUUUCCUUUCUCUCCAUAAAUCUCCAGCUCCUCCUUCUUCCUCCUCACUCUCAGUUGAUGAGCUUGAAUUCUAUUUCAGUUAAGUAAAGAGAAGCAAUCUGGAGAGAACUGCCAUUAGCUCCCACCACUGCCUCUACUGCCUACCUGCAUCUGUUCCCAUGUAAUUUGCCUUUCCUCCUGGGUGAAUUAUCUGCGCUCCUUUCUAAAGCCAAAAGCUCCAUAUGUGCACUGGGCACCAUUUCCUCUCAUCUACUCAAGAAUCUUGCUGCAACUCUCUCCUUUCUCUCCUGCAUCAAAUUUUCCCUCUAUAUUAGAUCUUUCCCAUUAACACACAGAACAUGCUGCAACAUAUCUCAACACAAAAUCCUUGACUCCAUGCCCUACUUCAACUGCUAUCUCAUUUCUUUGCUAGCUUUUAUAGAUAGAUCUCUGAAAAAAAAACUGGCUACACACAGUCUCCCUUUCCCUAAUUUCAUUCUCUCUUGAGUCUACUCUAAGCAAGCUUUCUUCAACCAUCUCAUUGAAACCACUCAUAUCAAGGUCACCGAUGAGCCUCAUGUUGCCAAACACAAUGGUCAAUUAUUAAUCUUCACCUCAUUCAACCAUAAUUUGAUACAAUAUAUCAAUCCUUUUUGAAAUAUUUAUGCUCUUGGUUUCCAGGGACCCCUUUCUCAUGGUUCUUUGCUUUUCUUAUGGCCGUUCCUCCAUCUCCCCAACCUCUAAAUGUUGCCUCGGGCCCUGUAUCUUUCCUUAUUCCUUCCUAUCCACACUUACAGCUUUUAAUGACAUAUCUAUGCAGACAGAUCCAAAAUUUCUAUUUCUAAGGUAGACAUCACCCUACAACCCCAGGCUUGUAUAUCCAACUACCUUCCUGAGCUCUGCCCUUGAGUGUCAAAGUUAACUUUCCCAAAAAUCAAACUCCUGAUUAUCCUUAAGCCUGCUCCAUUGAAGUAGCUUCCUUUUUCAACUGCUUAAACGAAAACCUUCAGCAUCCUUGACCAUUCAAUUUCCCGAACACCCUAUAACCAGUGCGUCCGCAUAUUCUCUUGCCCUUUACCUCAAACUACAUGCAGAAUCCCACCACUUCUUGCCGGCUCCAUCACCAUCGUCUCUCACCUGGAUUACUGCAAUGGCUUCCUGUGGUCAAAACUGCUUACUCCUUCCCAAAAUCUGUAUCUCCACCUUCUAUACUAAUAGCAAUUUUAGCUGAGUACCUGGUCUUCCAGAAUGUAGACUCCCUAGCAUUUCUCACAGCUUGGUGUAGCCAAGGAAAUCUAAGCAGAAAUGUCCAAGAAACUACGGAAUUUCUGGGAACCUUCCUCAAGACAGAGCUGUAAGUUACCCUUUGCAGCUUCCUCUAUCUUUUCCUCAUCCUGCUUCUUGGUACACAGAUGACUCCUUAUGUUUCCUCUUUUCUGUCUGUAUUCAUGGCCUCGAUGAGUCCUUAGAGCAAUGAGUUGGAAGGUGUUUGAGUCCCUGAGGACUUGGUGAGCAGAGCUGCCAUCUACAACUGGAUUGAGACCCCUGGACUUCGGGGUGAGAGAGAAACCAACUGUUUUCUAAAGCCACUGCUACUUGGGUAACAUUGUUACUGCUGAACUUCAUCCAGUUCUGAUUAUUUUUCUGUGAUUCUGUUCUUGCUCCUUUUAUGAAUUCCUCUUCACAGCUUCAGCCAGAACAAUCUCUCUGUUGGUUUGCUCUGCUCUUGGCUAAUGCCUGUCAGUGGCUUCCCAAGCUAUCCCCGUCACAGCAACAUCGAAGCCCUUACUGGCCUGUCUGCCCUUCAGUGUCCUGGUCUCCUUGCUUCUCUUCCUCCCUGGUCUCCAUCCAUCUUCCCCCAGCUUGUUCCAUUCCCCUUCCUGGAAGACUCUUGCCCCCAUUAUCUUGUGGCUCAGUCUCUCAAUUUCCUCCAGAUUUUACUCAGAUGUUACUCUACAAACAGGCCUUUUCUGACUACCUAAUCUAAACCAUCACCACUACCAGGAUACUUCCCAUAAAAAUUAGCAUUUUCAGCUUCUUUAGAAAAUGCAGCUGUUGUGACAAUACUGGACCCACUUCUCACAGGGCAGCAAUGGACUUGAGCUGGGGAAGAACCAAGAUAGAAACUAGGGGAGCUCUAGUUAUUCCUCCUAUAUGCUUUCCAUCAGUAACUUCAUUCCCGCUCCUGGACAGAAACAAUAGAUGCUUUGUUUAUUUUAUGUAAACUGCCCUACAAACUUAGUCUCAAGCACCCCCACCACCCCCACCUCAGCCCCACACCCAGAUAAAUGGUCAUCCUUUUAAAGAUAAAAAACCCGAAACUUGGCAUCCCUCUUUAAAAAUUGCUACUGGCAUGAGCAUCUGUACCUCAAGGUCCCCCCAGCUCCCUGUUGUCAUACAUCUCCCUGCUUUGCUAAUUCAUAAUCUUAUCUGGGUUCUCAGGGCUUAUGGUUAGCAGAUAAAGGCUUAGAGCGUUUCAGUUUUCCUCCAGUUACAGGGGAAAACUCAAAAGACUGACAUUCGGAGACCCAAUGGACUGACUCUUUAACAGCGGAAUUCCAGCCAUCAAGAGGCCUUACUUCCACAUAGUAACUUCCUGUUCCUGCGGCUCUUAGGACCGAACUCCAUCUAUCAGAUCAUUUUACAAAACCAUAUGGCUCAUUCCUUUUGGUUCAGAACCCAAGUCUGUUUUCUUUUUAAAUGUCAGUGCACGUCAACCUGCUUUGAACAUGUGCAGAGAUUACUGUAAACAGACUAAUCUUUCCUAGGAAGGAAUUUAGCCUUGUGCAAAGGAACUAAUAUCAUAAACAACUAAAAGGCAUAUUGCAUUAUUGAGCUGGCAAAUGCUAUUUAGAAGUUACUAAAGGCAAUUGCUAGUUCAAGGGAAGCUCAAAUUCCUCAAGGUGAAUAACUUAUAAGAGGUUUAUGUAGAGCUCGUUAAUACCCCGUUCUAUAUUUGUAUCAGAUUUUUAUUAAAGAAAACUGUUGAGGUUUCCAUGUUAAUUUUACCAUGUCUUUAUAAAUGCUUUCAAACCCAAAUUCUUGGAAAAAUGGUAAUAAA